rnacentral:tRNA from 1 species
UUCAUAAAAUGACUGAAAGCAAGUACU